rnacentral:rRNA from 1 species
GAUGAACGCUGGCGGCGUGCCUAAUACAUGCAAGUCGAGCGAACGGACGAGAAGCUUGCUUCUCUGAUGUUAGCGGCGGACGGGUGAGUAACACGUGGAUAACCUACCUAUAAGACUGGGAUAACUUCGGGAAACCGGAGCUAAUACCGGAUAAUAUUUUGAACCGCAUGGUUCAAAAGUGAAAGACGGUCUUGCUGUCACUUAUAGAUGGAUCCGCGCUGCAUUAGCUAGUUGGUAAGGUAACGGCUUACCAAGGCAACGAUGCAUAGCCGACCUGAGAGGGUGAUCGGCCACACUGGAACUGAGACACGGUCCAGACUCCUACGGGAGGCAGCAGUAGGGAAUCUUCCGCAAUGGGCGAAAGCCUGACGGAGCAACGCAGCGUGAGUGAUGAAGGUCUUCGGAUCGUAAAACUCUGUUAUUAGGGAAGAACAUAUGUGUAAGUAACUGUGCACAUCUUGACGGUACCUAAUCAGAAAGCCACGGCUAACUACGU